AUUGAACGCUGGCGGCAGGCCUAACACAUGCAAGUCGAGCGGAUGAAGGGAGCUUGCUCCUGGAUUCAGCGGCGGACGGGUGAGGAAUGCCUAGGAAUCUGCCUGGUAGUGGGGGAUAACGUCCGGAAACGGGCGCUAAUACCGCAUACGUCCUGAGGGAGAAAGUGGGGGAUCUUCGGACCUCACGCUAUCAGAUGAGCCUAGGUCGGAUUAGCUAGUUGGUGGGGUAAAGGCCUACCAAGGCGACGAUCCGUAACUGGUCUGAGAGGAUGAUCAGUCACACUGGAACUGAGACGCGGUCCAGACUCCUACGGGAGGCAGCAGUGGGGAAUAUUGGUCAAUGGGCGAAAGCCUGAUCCAGCCAUGCCGCGUGUGUGAAGAAGGUCUUCGGAUUGUAAAGCACUUUAAGUUGGGGGGAAGGGCAGUAAGUUAAUACCUUGCUGUUUUGACGUUACCAACAGAAUAAGCACCGGCUAACUUCGUG
rnacentral:rRNA from 1 species